rnacentral:rRNA from 1 species
UAGCAUAUCAAUAAGCGGAGGAAAAGAAACCAACAGGGAUUGCCCUAGUAACGGCGAGUGAAGCGGCAACAGCUCAAAUUUGAAAUCUGGCCUCGGCCCGAGUUGUAAUUUGUAGAGGAAGCUUUUGGCACGGCACCUGCUGAGUCCCCUGGAACGGGGCGCCAGAGAGGGUGAGAGCCCCGUAUAGCAGGACGCCUAGCCUCUGUAAAGCUCCUUCGACGAGUCGAGUAGUUUGGGAAUGCUGCUCAAAAUGGGAGGUAAAUUUCUUCUAAAGCUAAAUACCGGCCAGAGACCGAUAGCGCACAAGUAGAGUGAUCGAAAGAUGAAAAGCACUUUGAAAAGAGGGUUAAAUAGCACGUGAAAUUGUUGAAAGGGAAGCGCUUGUGACCAGACUUGCGCCGGGCUGAUCAUCCGGGGUUCUCCCCGGUGCACUCUGCCCGGCUCAGGCCAGCAUCGGUUCUUGCGGGGGGAUAAAGGCCCUGGGAACGUAGCUCCCUCGGGAGUGUUAUAGCCCGGGGCGUAAUGCCCUCGCGGGGACCGAGGACCGCGCUUCGGCAAGGAUGCUGGCGUAAUGGUCAUCAGCGACCCGUCUUGAAACACGGACCAAGGAGUCAAGGUUUUGCGCGAGUGUUUGGGUGUAAAACCCGCACGCGUAAUGAAAGUGAACGUAGGUGAGAGCUUCGGCGCAUCAUCGACCGAUCCUGAUGUAUUCGGAUGGAUUUGAGUAGGAGCGUUAAGCCUUGGACCCGAAAGAUGGUGAACUAUGCUUGGAUAGGGUGAAGCCAGAGGAAACUCUGGUGGAGGCUCGCAGCGGUUCUGACGUGCAAAUCGAUCGUCAAAUCUGAGCAUGGGGGCGAAAGACUAAUCGAACCAUCUAGUAGCUGGUUACCGCCAA